rnacentral:rRNA from 1 species
UACGUAGGGUGCAAGCGUUAAUCGGAAUUACUGGGCGUAAAGCGUGCGCAGGCGGUUUUGUAAGACUGUCGGGAAAUCCCCGGGCUCAACCUGGGAAUGGCGAUGGUGACUGCAAGGCUAGAGUUUGGCAGAGGGGGGUAGAAUUCCACGUGUAGGAGUGAAAUGCGUAGAUAUGUGGAGGAACACCGAUGGCGAAGGCAGCCCCCUGGGUCAAAACUGACGCUCAUGCACGAAAGCGUGGGGAGCAAACAGG